CAGAUGUAGUGGCUUGUUGUGUUGGAGUGAGCUACACCCUUUUCAGGAAUGCAAUUGGCUACAUUUUCACCUCAAACUCAAAGCAUGGAUUUCGAUUUGCGAUUGGCUGGCAACCAGUUCAGGGUGUGCCCCGCCUCCUGCCCGAUGACAGCUGGGAUAGGCUCCAGCACGUCCGCGAUCCUUACUCAAACACCAACCAGGCUCCGGUUCCUGCCCCUGCACCAAGAUGUGAAAGCGCCGCAGAGGACCACGCACUCCCACAGAUUCCAGACCAGCAUGAAACGUUUUCACAAUAAAACAGCUCUUUUCACGUCGUGGCUUGAUGUUACUCCUCAUGGUUGGCGUCUUUGCGGCUGGAAUCGUUGCCAGCGACUUUUUUUGUCAGACUGCUGAAGUGAGUCUUGCAUAGGUUUGCAACUGACAGUAAUCAGGUGAACACUGGAUUAGCCAAUUGUAGUGAAAGAGCAAAGUUCCUAAUCAUGUGGUUUCUUCGAAUAAUUAUGUGUUGCGUAAAUCAUUGUGAUCAGACUCACUAUUAUAACUUGUUAUAACAAAGUAGUUAUGGUAUGUAUAUGAGAAUAGCUGUGAAUGAUAUUGUGUUAAUUUAGUGAUGAUUUCAUAAUCUUCUGCACCUCAUCCAUCCAUUCAUUUUCCAUCCCGCUUAUCCUCACUAGGGUCACGGGUAUGCUGUUUCGUUUUUGUUAUUUUUUAAAUGCUCUUUUAAAAUAUACUGCAAAAAAAUAUGACAGGUUUAGUUGCUGAAGCGGGGUACAAACACAUAAUGAUUUUUAUUAUCGUUAGACUCGUUACCAAUUGUUAAAAAAGGGAGAGACCCCACAGAGGACGAAGAGAAAUUUGAUUUGGGAUAACCAACACAGCACAGCACACAUACAGUAAACGAUGUCUUCUGCACCACCGAGACCGAUCUGUGAGUGGCAGCAUGGAGCCACACGGCAUCCAGACUGCAGUCCACAAUUUUGUGGUCAAUGACUUGUGAGACACGUUAUACUAACACUUAACACAACCAUUGCUCUUCUAUUUGCGCUUCGGGUCGCUUCCUAAUUGGCUGCCGUUCCAUUUCCCGUCACAAUCACGGAAUCCGUGGCUCAGCCCGCCUUGGUGUUGACCACACGCAUAACAUAAGGAUUUGUGAUCGUAUAUAUUAAACAGGUUUAAGGUUUCAGAUUGUUGGAGCCAACCAUUUUCCAAGCAGAUUGGGGAGAAAAGAUUUCUUGUAAUGCACCCACACCACAUGAUAGUCAAUCAGAUGAUC